CCUACGGGUGGCUGCAGUGGGGAAUAUUGGACAAUGGGCGAAAGCCUGAUCCAGCCAUGCCGCGUGUGUGAAGAAGGCCUUCGGGUUGUAAAGCACUUUCAGUGGGGAAGAAAGCCUUGGGGCUAAUACCCUCGAGGAAGGACAUCACCCACAGAAGAAGCACCGGCUAACUCCGUGCCAGCAGCCGCGGUAAUACGGAGGGUGCGAGCGUUAAUCGGAAUUACUGGGCGUAAAGCGCGCGUAGGCGGUCUGAUAAGCCGGUUGUGAAAGCCCCGGGCUCAACCUGGGAACGGCAUCCGGAACUGUCAGGCUAGAGUGCAGGAGAGGAAGGUAGAAUUCCCGGUGUAGCGGUGAAAUGCGUAGAGAUCGGGAGGAAUACCAGUGGCGAAGGCGGCCUUCUGGACUGACACUGACGCUGAUGUGCGAAAGCGUGGGUAGCAAACAGGAUUAGAUACCCCGGUAGUC
rnacentral:rRNA from 1 species